rnacentral:rRNA from 1 species
GAAGAACGUAGCGAAAUGCGAUACUUGGUGUGAAUUGCAGAAUCCCGUGAACCAUCGANUCUUUGAACGCAAGUUGCGCCCGAAGCCAUUANGCCGAGGGCACAUNUGCC